rnacentral:rRNA from 1 species
UACGUAGGGACCAAGCGUUGUUCGGAUUUACUGGGCGUAAAGGGCGCGUAGGCGGCAUGACAAGUCACUUGUGAAAUCUUCGGGCUUAACCCGGAACGGCCAAGUGAUACUGUCGCGCUAGAGUGCGGAAGGGGCAAUCGGAAUUCUCGGUGUAGCGGUGAAAUGCGUAGAUAUCGAGAGGAACACCAGAGGUGAAGACGGGUUGCUGGGCUGACACUGACGCUGAGGCGCGAAAGCCAGGGGAGCAAACGGG